rnacentral:rRNA from 1 species
GACGAACGCUGGCGGCGUGCCUAAUACAUGCAAGUCGAGCGAGUCUGCCUUGAAGAUCGGAGUGCUUGCACUCUGUGAAACAAGAUACAGGCUAGCGGCGGACGGGUGAGUAACACGUGGGUAACCUGCCCAAGAGAUCGGGAUAACACCUGGAAACAGAUGCUAAUACCGGAUAACAACAGAUGAUGCCUAUCAACUGUUUAAAAGAUGGUCCUGCUAUCACUCUUGGAUGGACCUGCGGUGAAUUAGCUAGUUGGUAGGGUAACGGCCUUCCAAGGCGAUGAUGCAUAGCCGAGUUGAGUGACUGAUCGCCCACAUGGGGACUGGGACACGGCCCAAACUCCUACGGGACGCAGCAGUAGGGAAUCUUCCACAAUGGACGCAAGUCUGAUGGAGCAACGCCGCGUGAGUGAAGAAGGGUUUCGGCUCGUAAAGCUCUGUUGUUGGUGAAGAAGGACAUGGGUAGUAACUGACCUUUGUUUGACGGUAAUCAAUUAGAAAGUCACGGCUAACUACGUG